rnacentral:rRNA from 1 species
GAUGAACGCUAGCGGGAGGCUUAACACAUGCAAGUCGAGGGGUAAGCGGGUAGCAAUAUUUGCCUAGACCGGCGCACGGGUGAGUAACGCGUAUGCAACCUGCCCUUUACAGGGGGAUAGCCCGGAGAAAUCCGGAUUAAUACCCCAUAGUUCUGCGACCCCGCAUGGGGAUGCAGAUAAAGCUUCGGUGGUAAAGGAUGGGCAUGCGUGACAUUAGCUUGUUGGCGGGGUAACGGCCCACCAAGGCUGCGAUGUCUAGGGGGUUCUGAGAGGAAGGUCCCCCACACUGGUACUGAGACACGGACCAGACACCUACGGGUGGCUG